CGGAUUAUCAGACAAAAACCCUGCCAUCACACAAUUGUUGUCGGGGGGGAUCUGAUCGUGUGUACGGGCCUAAAGAGUAGCGGCGUACAUACCUCUCAGGCAGAUGGUGAAAUCUUCAUUCUUUUGUACAGCUGCUAUCUACAUGUGUCAAAUUGCAUGUCCCCUGCUAGGUGCAAUGGUUCUUCCGUUUGGGCCAAUACCGGUAUGUCUUUACUGUGCGUAAUGUCACACCUGGUGGGGACUCGGGCAUCCCAGUUGGAAACCUCGAAUGACUGCAGUACAUGCAGCUCUACAAGCUUUUUGCUAUAUGAGCAAUAUUUUACCUACCUCCUGCUGAACUCCUAUAUAUUCAGCUUCCCAAUUAUGUACUUCUAUUUGGAUUUUUUAUUAUAUAUAAAAUGUGACUGUCUCUUUAAGACAUGCAUUUUUGUGCUGAUGUUACAUUCGCUAAGGCAGUCCAUUGUUAAGUAAACUGUCAAAACCUCAAUGCGUAUUUUAAUGUACAUGCACAAUUUUAUAGGGCACAGAUCGUUCACUUUGUUGUGGGGAGCUAAAAAGCAAGUGCAUUAUGCUCUGUUUACUAGGUGGAUUGGGUCACCAUUCAAAAUUAUUAGCCCUGUACUUCUGUGCAUUACCACAACACACGUGUGAAUGGGCUCCUAAUGUGUAAAGAGAAAGGUCUUGGUUGAUGCUGAUUGUUAGAGAAAAGGCAAACGAGAUCAAUGACUUUUCUUUACAAAAGUAGAAACUUGUUUGUUCAGUGUAACCAGAUUUCAAACCUUUUGUGAAACUAAAAAAAAAAAAAUAUUUUUGUAGAGCACUUUUUUUUUUUUUUUUUUAUAACUCUGCCCCUAAGAAGUAUAAUUAUUGAUCACUCCAAAAUCCAGUAUUUAUUGUGCAGAUUUGUCCUCUUACUACACUCACUGAAAAGCGAAGAUUUUCUAUAAAGGGCUGAGAUUACAAUGUAGAGGGCACAGAAUGUUAAUCGGAAGAGCCUUUUAUAAAAUACUAGCUAGCAGGUAAACACCUAGAAGUACUUGCAGUAGCCUCUGACCCCUGAGGAGCAAAGCUUCAGCAUUUUCUUAUAGUGUCAAGUUUCAUACUUUCACAUACAAUUGUAAUUAUUUUCUAUCAAAUUUUAAUUAAUUUUAUAAAUCCAUGACACUGAUUUAAAUAAGUGAAAAAAAUACUAAAAUAUAUAUAUUAGUAUAAAAAGGUAAUACAUGACUAUUUGCACAUGUGUUGUCACAUCAAUUUCAAGAAUAAUUUUAUAUUCUGCACUAACAAGUAUUGGUUGGGAUUUUCUGUUGAAAACGGCACUCCGUGGUAGAAUUUUCCUUGGUUCUUAUGAUUAUAAGUUGGCUGCAAUGGAAGAUACUAAAUUGCUAUUUCGGGUUCUGCUCAACCCUAUCUUCUAGUUCUGUUGGCAUAUGAAAGUCAAGACUACUUGCAUUUCAGUGUAGGUAGAACAUCUAGGUGCUGAAUUGUGAUUUUGAGUCCUCAAUAUAAAGUUGUGUGAAUUUCAGCCAAUGACAGGAUAGCGUAGAACCUAUACUGGUAACUUAUCAAAACAGAAACUAUUAUUGUAAAUGGGGAUGUGAUGUGUUGUAAUACUUCACAAAGAGCACACAGUAUAACAGGACUUUUGUUGAACGUUACACAAUUUGUACUUGUCCAGCAUCUGAAAAAAAUGUCAGUGGCUUGCCAUUACUAAAGAUGAACCUUUUUUAUUUUUAUUUUUUUCUUCAUGGUCUGGUGUUAAGAUUUGUAUUUUUGUGGUUAAAAAAAAAAGGGGGGGGGCUGGGGUCCCCAGCCAUUAAUACAGGGGAUGAGUGUACUACUUUGAACAGGAGACCUGUUCUGCAUGAAGCUCAAUAAGGGAUUUGAAUCAUAAAGAGCAGAUUUUUCAGAGCACAUUUGGGUGAAUUCAGAGCCUAGAGCCUGAAGGCAGUAUUUCCGUUAAGAUAAAUUCAGGUUUUGGCCCUGUCUGAGAUGCUGUUGUGAUAAGUGCAAAUUGCCAUCUUUAGUAAAAAUGCAGUUAUACUUAUAAGUCCUGUUGUAGAAAUUGUCUAAGCCGCACAUUGUUUUUUUAUGUAAUGCCAACCUUUUGUCAAAAUCUAGUAUUUAAAACUGAAUUCCAGGCAAACCGCUAAAUACGCAGGUGGUAUACAUGAAGGUAAGCCAAAGAUUAAUCUUUCUGUCCAUCCAGUCCUGAGAUCUACACACCCAGCACAGUUCUGCCUGGUAGGGCCGAACUGUGGUUUUUUUUUUUUUUCUCUUCUCUACUGCAGUUAAAGCCGAAUUAAACCCUCCCAACCUUUUGCUGCCAAAGACUGUUCUAUCUUUGCAUGUAUUUAGAUCUGCAAUUGCCAUUGUGUUCAGCUAUGGUCCCAGCCUUGGAGGGUUUGAAAGUUCAGUGAGAGCUAACCUAAACACACUGGCAACUUUGAGAGCUAUCACCAGAGGCAUGCCUUUAAAUGCAGAAUACACUAAUAAGCUGAAUGUAAAUGGAAACGCUACAGAUCAAAGUGUUGGUAUGGUUUUCCUUAAGGAGUUAAUCAUCUUUAUUGGAUAUUUCUGACUUUUGUCAUCGUAUACACUUUCAUUUUAGAUAUCAACAUUGUAAUCAAACAAUAGUUAUUAUUUUGACAAUCCAAUUUAAGCCUUCUUGAAAGGUCCCCUUCCAAGUUGUGAGUGCUGCAAAUCUGCUGGCUGUUUCCUAAACUUCCUGCAUGCUUUGCAGCUUCUCUGCCUUUUACUUUUAAUUUAGAAGUAAAAUAUCCCAUGCUAGUUUGUCACCUGCAGUAAUUCCUAUACUGACUCUGCCUCCUGCUCUCAGCACCUCUGUAGUUCAGAAGGCAGACUCUGUGAAAUAUGUGACACAGCAGUGCACAUUGCACAGAAUAAAGGGUUAUUUUAAAAGAGCAAAGUGUUCAGUUCAUCCAGUUCCGUUAUUUUUAGCGCGAUCAGUGCAGUGUAUUUGGAAAUAACAAGCAUUGUAAGAUAAAUUAUACCUAUAGUAUUUUAUACUUGUGAAAUUUCUGUAUUUUACCAAAGUAUCUAAGGAA